rnacentral:rRNA from 1 species
AUUGAACGCUGGCGGCAGGCCUAACACAUGCAAGUCGAGCGAGCGGCGGACGGGUGAGUAAUGUCUGGGAAACUGCCUGAUGGAGGGGGAUAACUACUGGAAACGGUAGCUAAUACAGCAUACCAUCAGAUGUGCCCCGAUGGGAUUAGCUAGUUGGUGGGGUAACGGCUCACAAAGGAGACGAUCCCUACCUGGUCUGAGAGGAGGACCAGGCACAUUGGAACUGAGACACGGUCCAGACUCCUACGGGAGGCAGCAGUGGGGAAUAUUGCACAAUGGGAGCAAGCCUGAUGCAGCCAUGCCGCGUGUGUGAAGAAGGCCUUCGGGUUGUAAAGCACUUUCAGCGGGGAGGCGUUACCCGCAGAAGAAGCACCGGCUAACUCCGUGCCAGCAGCCGCGGUAAUUC